rnacentral:rRNA from 1 species
GCCAUACUACCUGAACACACCUGGUCUUACCUGAUCUUGAAAGCUAAGAAGGGUUAGGCCUGGUUAGUACUUGGCUGGGAGAUAACAGCUUCUUUUGUUUAAAGGGGGAAUCCCAGGGCAC